CCAGGAACCUGCACCUGCACCUGCACCUGUACCUAAACCUUCGACAUCGAAAGGUUCAAGUACAGGUUCCAAAGCGCCCAGGCCGAGGCGCGGCAGACCAACCGGUGCAAACCGGACCCCUCUCUCCCUGGAAGAACGGCGCGCAAGAAAUGCGCAGUACGAAAGGGAGAGGAGGGAGGAUUUAGCCCAGGCCCAGGCUGAGCUAGCUGAGGCCGCUGGGUGCGACCCAAAUGUAUCGGAGGCCGACUUGUUGGCAUUUGUAGUCAAUAAGUUGAGUGCAGACAAAUUAGAAGUAAAGCAGAGCAUUGAAGAAUACAGGCGGUUAAACGCCAAGUUGGAGGCACAGAUUGCCAGUUGUCUCCAGCGGUUGGGCCCGGACUAUGUUGAUAGUGAUGAUGAUGAGGAGGUGCAGCUGGAAGAGCCCAAUGGUCGGAAACGUAAAUCAUCAGAUGAGACGGUUGGUGAUGGCAAACGUUUGCGGCGCAGUGGGAAGCAAAUCCCAGCAAGUUGGAUCUCACCCACUGACCUGGCUGAAGCUGGGCCUUCUUCCUACACGCACACUGCAGCACAUCCACAGCAGUCACAACCAACAUCACUAUCACCAC